rnacentral:snRNA from 1 species
GUGCUCGCUUCGGCAGCACAUAUACUAAAACUGGA